rnacentral:rRNA from 1 species
UCGAGAAUUUUUCACAAUGGGCGCAAGCCUGAUGGAGCGACGCCGCGUGGGGGAUGAAGGGUUUCGAUCCGUAAACCCCUGUCAUUUGCGAACAAACCUUCUGCAAGAACAUUGCAGGAGCUGAUUGUAGCGGAAGAGGAAGGGACGGCUAACUCUGUGCCAGCAGCCGCGGUAAUACAGAGGUCCCAAGCGUUGUUCGGAUUCACUGGGCGUAAAGGGUGCGUAGGUGGCCGGGAAAGUUUGAUGUGAAAGCUCGGAGCUUAACUCCGAAAAGGCAUUGAAUACUAUUCGGCUGGAGGGUCGGAGGGGAGACUGGAAUUCUCGGUGUAGCAGUGAAAUGCGUAGAUAUCGAGAGGAACACCAGUGGCGAAGGCGAGUCUCUGGACGACAUCUGACACUGAGGCACGAAAGCUAGGGGAGCAAACAG